rnacentral:lncRNA from 1 species
UCUAGACAAAACGGGUGAGGUACCCUAUAAAUCACAAUGAACUAAAUAGAAAUGUGCAUCAACAUAUGUACUGUUAGAAGCAAAAUGUAAUUUAGCUAAUAUUUCAAGGGCACAACUUUGAUAAUUUUUAACUAAAAUAGACUGAAAGUUCAAUUUUCUUGGAAAAAAAUUGGACUUGAACAUAUACUCUAACUUACUAGCAUGUGGAUGACCAAGAUGACAAUGCCAUAGACUUUUAGAAUAAAAUUGGACUUAAACAUAUAUUCUAAUAUACUAGCAUGUAGAUGACCAAGAUGACAAUGUCAUAGACUCCACGUUUCAUUGGCACAUGAAACAAAUGAGGAUAGUGAUGCUGAAAUAAAAAGACGCAAUAAGGAUUGUUUUGUGUGAUCCAAGUCAAGAUGAAAUAAAUGUCCACUUUUAUGCCCCCUCAUGAUCGUUUGGCCCGUUUGAAAGUCCUGGACAUCACAACUAAGAGAAGAAAAUUUAAUUAAACAAUUAUAGUCACUUAAUUGUCCAACAAAAACUAAGUUGGUAAUUAGACCUAGUAUAUAAAAUAUAUUAAGCAAAUAUAAGGAUUUUUUGGAUAUAUUAGGUAAGCAUAUAAUACCAACUUCGUUAAUUGGUAAUUUUCUUUCAUUAUCUGUUGUAAUUGACUGAUUUAAAGAAUAAAGUUUGAUUUCAAAAAACAUGUGUUUUUGGUCAGUCAUGUGAUUAAAGGCAGUAAAGUCAAGAUACCAAGGAGCAUAUUUAACUCCUUUACCUGAUAACCCAGCAGUAGAAAAAACAGAAGAGAUUGCACUUGGAAGAGUUGACUGCACAGUUUUUUGAAUCAUCUUUUGGAUUGCUUAAGGAGUAAGGAAGGUCUCAUUAGCACUUUUUUUUCAUUGAUAAGACUUUAUAGCAAUAAAAGCAAAUUGGCUUCAUUUAUUUUUUAAAAUUCUACAAUCUAGAAUGAUGUGUCCUGGCUUCUUGUACUAGUUAUAUAUAAAUUUCAUUUCUUACAUUGUGAAUUACAAUAUCUGCACUACAUAUCUUCUCUACCCCCAUGCUUCUGUUUUGGCUAAAAUUGAAGUGAUAAUGGUUGCAUCAACUGUAUUGAAUGUUGUGUCCAAUUGUGCAUGUGUAUUUAAUCAAGUUUCUUCACGAACCAAACGUACUUAUAUACUUCAUAGUCAGAUUUUCUCGAUUGAUUAGUGGCCCUUGCGUUUUCAAAUUCUAGUUGAAGCUUUAUGAGACAUUACAUCACUCUUCCAUGAUCUCUUUCUUUCUUAAUCUCCUCAUAUGCUGCACUUGAGUUGGUAUUUGAUGAUAUAUUAUCAUGUUUAGUCCAUAGUUUCAAUAUGUUAACAUAAAACUAUAAAUAUCUUUUUCCUCUUAGUUAAUGUUUGCAAUCUCAUAUUCAAGUUCAAACAGUCUUGAUUAAUUAACUUGAGAAUAAAUUCUUUGAAGAUGUUGCCAUAUUUCUACAGUUUUGAAAGAUCUAAGACUCAAUGCAAUUUCAUUUUCUACUGAAUUCAAUAUCCAUGUAAUAAUUUGAGUAUUCUUGAUUUUCUAUAGACUAUUUUUUACGUUGUAACCAACUUCCUUUUGAGAUUUGUCAAGAAUAACAGAGAGUCUCUUUUCUUUAACGAAAAUCUGAAAGUGAAAUUCCCAAUGAGUAUAAUUUUUUCUAUUGAAUUUGGCAUAUAUGGAUUCGAACUUAUUUUCCAUUUUUCAAUUGAAUACAAAUUGAAAAGAUAAGGAAACAAGUUUAAGAUUACACCAAAUCCUUUAAAGGAUAAAAUAAACUCCUCAAAAGAAUUAUCAAAAGUGUAUUACAUAAGCAAGACUCAAAGAAUAGGCUCUGAUACCAUAAUAAACUUUGAAGAGCUGUAAUAGUUUUUUAAUAUAUUUUUCAAAGAGUACAUGGCUAUAUAUGUACAAUAAAACUUGUCUAAUUAUAGUAAUCUAGCAAAAAAAAAAUUCAAUUACAAAUAUACAAUUAGAAUCUCUAAAUAUUAGGAGACAAACUACAAAUUUAGGAGUGAUUAACUAUAAAUCUGCUCGUAAAUCUUUAAAUUUAUUCUUCUUGAUACUCAUAUCUUAGAAAAUAAAGAAACAACAAAUAAUUCUGUGAUCAUCUAUAAAAGCUGAGUAUCAUGCUUGUGACUUAUGGAUUAUAAUAACUCCAUUAUUUGCUUAGUGACUUACAUGUUCCUUAUCAUACUACUGCUCGAUGUUGUGAUAAUUUAUCUCCUACUAAGAUUACUGAGAAUCAAAUAUUUUGUGAAUGUACUAAGUACAUAGAAAUUGAUUGCCAUGUUAUUCGACAAAAGUUUGCUGAUGGACUCAUUCACUUAAUGUCUACUCUUUCUUCUCACCAACUGGUUGAUUGUUUCACAAAAUCUCUUCUUAACUCUACUUUUUAAUAUGCUACAAUCAAGCUAGAUAUACAAAAUUUGUAUACUCCACCUUGAGGGGCAUUAUUAGAAUAGUUAAACAAUUAGUCAGUCCGUUAAUUAAUUAGUUUUGUUAGUUCGUAAUCAGUUUAAAAUUAGUUGAAUAAGUUAUAAUUAGUUUUUUCCUCUUUAUAUAAAUACUCAUCUUCUCAUUAAUGAAAAUAGUAUCCCGUUUUAUUUUCAUCCCUAAUUACUUUUUCUCCUCUUUUCAAAUACUCUCUUGCUCUCCGUCAACUCUCUUGAUUCUUUCUCUCUACCGAUUGUAAAUCACUUACAGUUUCAACGAUCUCUAUAAUAUGAUAUUUGUUUUUCCUUACUUCUCAGUUUUCGAAUUAUCUUCUCGCGAGCUAGAAGUUUGUGUAGAUUCUACUGGAGAUUUGCCUCCAUAACUAGAUCAUCUUGUGUUGAUUCCUCUUAAAGAUUAUCAAUUUGUUCUUUGAGCUACCUUAUUCUCAUUAUGGUAUUUCCAAAAAAAUCUUUGUUCCAUUGCCCCAACAUGUUCCUUGUGUGUUUGAUCUUUUGGGAAAAUUUGUGGGCAUUUGAGCCCAAGAACUAUUCAUUCCAUGCUUCUUCAAUAAUCUUCGUACUGAUGGAGUCUCCUAGCCAAGCAGCUUAAAGAGUCAUCUGCCUCUUUUUCCUUAGGAUUUUCUCCUUUGAAGUUUAAAACACGAUAUUCAAUAUGAGACUAAAUAUAUUAUUAUUGGGCACUGUUUUUAACUGCACAUAUUUUUGUAGUACAGAUAAUCUAGUAUCUUAUCUUAAUUAGCAAGUGGCAGGCUCUCUUUCUCUCUCUCUCUCUGUCUCUCUCUCUCUCUCUCUCUAUAUAUAUAUAUAUAUAUAUACAAUUUGGCAAAAAGUUGAGGAGGUUCAAUCAGGCUAUAUAUCAUAGCUAUAGGCCACUAUUUUUGACGAGAAAAUGUAGACAUAUUCUAAAAAUGAAAUUAUUAUUAAUGGAGAUAAUUUCAUUUAUCAUAAACACUAUUCAUCAGUAAAUAUAGAAAACAAAAUUAAAGUAGAGGCAUGUAUAUAUAGAUCCAUGUGAUAAACUGGCAGGAGCAGAAACAUUAGAUUCUCCCGUGAUUCAUGAGACGACAAAGAUCAAGUUGCAAUAUUUAAAAAAGAAAACAUUUCAGUAAAGGAAAUUUAAGCCACUUAAUUCCAUUGAUAAAUUAAUUGAAGUAGAAAAAAUUUAAGCCUUACCAACUUGUUAUUGUCAUAAAUAGUAUCAAGGGAGAAGAAAAAGAAAUGGGCACUUCAUCCAGACUCCAUCUCCAAUACUUUGUCUUUUGAUUUUCCAUGAAAAUAAUUCUGUGCUACUACGUUUUUUUCUUUGUUUCUAUAUAUACACCGCUAUUAUACUAUUGCUAGAUGCUGUAUAUAUAUUUUUUAGUAAAAAGGAAAACUUAAAAACAAAAGUUUCUUCUCUGGGAAAUCCUUCUUAGUCAGAGAUAAUUAUUUUUCUCCAUAAGGCAACAACUAAUAAAUACAAAACACAGAAACUUACCUUGCUUCUCCCUCUUUUCUUUCCCAUGAAAAAGAAGGCAAUUCCAUUCCUGUAUUAAUACCGUAUAUUAUAACUACAUUACUUUCAUACACUACUAGUUAUGUCUUCCCCAAUAACUGAAUAUAUAUAUAUAUAUAUAUCUAACAUGGGUACGUACCUGCUGAACAAUUAUCAACUGUUUUUAUGAUGGCUUCAUCAAUUUUAGGAUUAUCCGUAAUUCUCUUUACAUUCUUUUUCCCUGCAACAUCAGCUCUUAAAAAUGCUUCUUUUGAUCAUCAUCCCCAUCUCUCUUCCAUCACAUCCUUCUGCAACACCACCCCAUAUCCAGAUGCCUGUUUUAAUUCAUUGAAGCUCUCCAUCUCAAUCAACAUUAGCCCAAACAUCCUCUCCUUCCUC